AUUGCUGGAGGCCAGAAAGUAAGACAAAUAACAGCUCACCUGCCUGGGUUGUUGGAGCAACAAGAAACUUUAAGAGCAAUCCUCCAUUUGCCAGGGGAAGAGAACUGGAAAGCUGAGCUGGAGUUUGAAAGACAAGAUGUAUUUCAAACUUCCCUUGAACUUUCUCCAGUAAGUAUAAUUGUGUGCUUGUCAACCCGGUCUUAGUCCUUGUCAUUACAGGUUCAGCAGCUGCAAAGGUGAAAUGUUUUGACAAAUACUGAACGUCAUCUAUUUCAUACUCUGGAUCAGCAUGGAUGUUUUUUAGCUUCUUCAGAUGGCUCUGUAAUGGAGUUAUAUUUGGAAGUUUCCCAGUAUGGUGCAAAAGCCUCAUAGUGAGAGGAAGUUUAUAAACUGCAGUUCUACGAGAAGAAGAAAGACCAGAUGCUCAUCCUGCAUGACUCCUCCUUGAGCCUUUGUAUUUUCCCAGCUAGACCUUUCAGGCUUCCUAUUUAUACAUUUAUCUUGAGUCUACUGAGUGGUGACAAAGAUGCGAAUCGGCCAGCACAUUUUCACCCAGUGUAGAGAGAAGCCAUUUAAAGACUGAGAUAACAUUUCAAGAAAACAAUAAAACUUGACAAUAAGGGAAGAUGAGAAAAAAGGAGCAUUUCUGACUGUGGUUCUGACAUUCACAA
rnacentral:lncRNA from 1 species